CUGCACACACUUCCUUCUCUGCAUACACAAACACCAAUGUGGAGCUGUCCCUUCCUCUCUCCGGCUGUCCUUCCUCAUUGCUGACAUGGGCAGAGGCUGGGUGGUGCUCGGGAAUAAAAGGGCUUCUCCUUUGACCGGAUGAACCAGCCUUUAUUUAGGAGGAUACCAUUUUCACCAGGGCUCUGAUGGAUGAGGAAAAGUGUAUUUUAUGGGCCGUGGGGAUGGCUCAUCAGAAGAGGACCUGCUGCGUCAGCAUAAGGCCCUGAGUUUGGAUUGCCAACAUCCACGUAGAAAGCUGGGUGCUGAAUCAGUACUAUAUCAUCAUAGUGCCACGGAAAGGUGGAGACAAGAGGAUCCAGAGGACUUAGCUGCCACCUGUCCAUGGAACCAGCGAACUCCAGGUUCAAUGAGACACCCUGUCUCAAAAAAUAAGGCUCUGCCUUGAUCACCAUAGAUGUGCUUCCUCAGCC
rnacentral:lncRNA from 1 species